rnacentral:rRNA from 1 species
CCUACGGGAGGCAGCAGUGAGGAAUAUUGGUCAAUGGACGCAAGUCUGAACCAGCCAUGCCGCGUGCAGGAAGACGGCACUAUGAGUUGUAAACUGCUUUUGUACGAGGGUAAAGGCAGAUACGCGUAUCUGUCUGAAAGUAUCGUACGAAUAAGGAUCGGCUAACUCCGUGCAAGCAGCCGCGGUAAUACGGAGGAUUCAAGCGUUAUCCGGAUUUAUUGGGUUUAAAGGGUGCGUAGGCGGUCGGAUAAGUUAGAGGUGAAAUCCCGAGGCUCAACUUCGGAAUUGCCUCUGAUACUGUUCGGCUAGAGAGUAGUGGCGGUAGGCGGAAUGUAUGGUGUAGCGGUGAAAUGCUUAGAGAUCAUACAGAACACCGAUUGCGAAGGCAGCUUACCAAGCUACUUCUGACGUUGAGGCACGAAAGCGUGGGGAGCAAACAGGAUUAGAUACCCGAGUAGUC